rnacentral:rRNA from 1 species
GAUGAACGCUAGCGAUAGGCUUAACACAUGCAAGUCGAGGGGCAGCACAUGAGUGGCAACACGAUGGUGGCGACCGGCGCACGGGUGAGUAACACGUAUGCAACCUGCCCAUAACUGGGGGAUAACCCGUCGAAAGGCGGACUAAUACCGCAUGACAACGAUGAUCCGCAUGGUGAUUCGUUUAAAGAUUUAUCGGUUAUGGAUGGGCGUGCGUUCCAUUAGGUAGUUGGCAGGGUAACGGCCUACCAAGCCUACGAUGGAUAGGGGUUCUGAGAGGAAGGUCCCCCACACUGGUACUGAGACACGGACCAGACUCCUACGGGAGGCAGCAGUGAGGAAUAUUGGUCAAUGGGCGAGAGCCUGAACCAGCCAAAUCGCGUGAAGGAUGAAGGUAUUAUGUAUUGUAAACUUCUUUUGUCGGGGAAUAAAGUGCGGGACGUGUCCCGUUUUGUAUGUACCCGAAGAAUAAGGAUCGGUUAACUCCGUGCCAGCAGCCGCGGUAACAC